AGGGCGACCAGCAGGCAGUCGAAUCAUUUCCAUGCUGCUUCACUCCUUCCGGUUUCGGACGUCGCUUUUACGCAGUCCUCGCCAACCUUGACAGUCUCGGCCACUCUUUCACUGCUCGCUUCACUCGUCUCGGCUGCUCUUCGUCUUCUUCGCCGCCGUUGCCUUCCUCAAGCAAUGCGGUGUUGUGGAUACCACACCCUAGAAGAGUUGGUGGCAGAUUCUUCACCAAGUAUGGAAUGCGUGCGAUGCCGAGCUGGGUGCUUGGUGACAACAGGCACAUGACGACCUUUAUCGAUGGUUUGACGAUGAUGACGCGCUGGAAGAAGCAAUGGGUGGAGAGUACGUUCUUUAUUUCUUAUUUAUGUACAAAUUAAGAUCUCACAUAACACCACCCGCAGGGCGUGCAGCAAUACACUAGUUGUUGUAUAAUUUGUAUCCAAUUUGCGUGCGGCAAUAGACUAGUUGUAUAAUUUGUAUCCAGUUUGUCCAUUCCUAGGUUCGAGGAAAAAACACCAUUACAGCGAAUUAUUCCUCGUUUUUACAA